CCAUAAAAUUUAUAAAACAUUUAAAUAUAUAAUUUGUAAUAUUUUUCAUUAACAUAGCAGACAAUCUUGAGAUGUGAUAACAAUAGUUAUUUGCAAUAACGAUUAUCACCUGACAAAAGGAAGACGAUAAUAAAUACAUCAAUGUUCAAUAAGAUUUGAGUAAAAAAUGACAGUGCUUCUGGAGUAUAAAUGUUAGGAUCAAAUUCCGUCAACAAUCUAGAAAAACUCGAUCACAAUACGUUGUCACUAUUUUUUUCUCUCAUAUUAAUAUUAAUUAUUAAUUUAUCAUUAAUACCUAUCAUGUUUUAUAAAAUUCAAUCCCUUGAUAAAUUGGUUUAAUUUUUGAAUUUUCUAAUUAACAAUAAAUUCUAAAUUCCAGUUAUUAAUUGUUAUCUAAUUCCUAACUGAUAAGGCCAAUUUUUUUCGACUUUAAUUAACUUUUACUAUAAGUAUACAUGUGUUACAAUUUUGUUACUAAUAAGUCUAAAAGUGCAAAAAUACUCCAAUGUUUACCAUAAUUGCUCAUCCUUUGAAGUUCUACCUAAUUAUUGUGAGUUAUUUGCAGGAUAUCCCAUAAAUGGUGUAUACCUUUCAAAUGUGUAAUAUUUGAGGUUAUUUUAAAUUGACUCUAAUAGACAGUGUACGAUUUUUUUAAUUUUUGUUCUUACAUAAUUUUCUUGUGUUUUAAAAUUUAAAAUUAAGUAAACAACAUGAUGUUAUUGGCCGUAUAGCGCCAUCUUCUGGUAUUUACUCUCGCGCAGGUGUCCCGGUUCGAUUCCCAGCUUGUACAGUAUUUUUUUCUUUGAUUAAAUGUUACCUGCCUCAACGUAAAAAGGCGCAAAUGACUUGUAUUUUAUCCAAUUUUCACUAUGAAUUUGUGAGUCUUCAUACGCAAUUGAAAUAUUAUUAUUAUCUACCAUGUAUGGGGCACCCUUCGUGAUAUAUAUGUAUAUAUGUGCAUUGAUUUCGAUCAGUUUACACAUCUAAUGAGGGAAUAAUAACUUUUGAAAAUUAAAUGUUUAGAACUAGCAUCGCACCAUGAACUUUCAAUUUGUUUUGACUUGUAACAAUAAGGACAAGUCAUUAUUAAAAAGUAUUAAUGCUAUUAUUUAAAUUAAAAUUAAUUUAACUACUUGUAAAUUACGUAAUAUAUAUCUACACGAAGAUGAAAUUUGUCUCUAUAAUAUGUAUGUAUACAUUUAACAACAAUUUUUUUUUGAUAUUAACUACUACAAUAGACAGUAUAACGUGAUGAAAAUUAUUUGUCAGCUUUUUUAUUGUCGUUAAAAAAGACUGAAACAACCAAAAUUUAGAAUCAAUUUUUUUAUUUAAAAUGAUUCUGUAGCAUCGCGCAUUUCUGUUUCCGUGCUGUAAAUUUAACAUGGUUUUGUCGUUUUGUGUCUUUAUUCUAUUGUACUUGCGCGAUAUUAUUAAAUUACUUAACACCAGCACAAGCUGCGCUCGCAUUCGUAAAAUCCAAAAAUAUACUUGCAUUAGCUAUUAAAUGUACGAACAACAGUACAGCGCCUCCAAAAGUAAUGAAUAAUGCAUUGAUCAUGUCUCACUUAGUUCGAGCUGUCUUUUCCUUUAGUGACCUUAUGAACCUAACCAAUGGAACAAAAGUAUACCUGGUAUUUCUGUCAUGUGCUGGCGUGCAGUAUACUUCCAAGCUGGCUCUGGUGCCGUGUAUAUUUCAAGCGUCGCUUGUGCUGAUUUAAGUAUAUAUAGUCGACUCUCGUUAAUUCAAACCUGCGAUAAUUCAAACCUUUCUAUAAUUCGAAAUUAUCACGAGUUCCCUACAAAAUCUCUUUAUAUUUCGAACUUGGUAAUUCGAACGAAAAAAUCAUUGCUACGUAACAAAAUGUCGCGUUAAUUCGAACUCAUCGUUAAACACUCUACAAUUCAAAAUUGAAGAAAGAAACAGAAAGAUUGUUCAAAUUGUGAAAAUACAAACCAUCAUCAUCGGACAAUUAGAAAAACUACAAGGAGCAACCAAAAUCAAAACGAAUCGUCACAAAUACCAUAUUAUCCAACAAAAGAGAAGGAAUUGCAGUUAAUUUGGAUGCUACUGAAGCAUAUAUUGCUUUGGAUGUCUUCACUUUGCAACAUUAUGGAGUUAAUUUUAAACUUUCGAGGAGGAGAACUGGAAAUUAGUUUGGAAAUGACUGAAACAGCAGUGGGUUUUCUCUUGGAUUUGGCUUGCCCAUUACACAUGGAGACUUUAAAAUACUAUUUCCUGCGGUUAAUUAAGAUCAUCGAACAAAUGAGUUCAGUUUGGCUAUACUGAAACGGCCAAUGUCUACAUGGGUGUUGUCUUUUCUGGACUUGGUCUUGAUUUGCUAUUUUCGUCUUCACUUCGCAACCUAUGCAGUUAAUUUUCAACCGAUGAGUGGGAGCAACUGGAGACUUAUUUGAACAACAGACUUUCUGCUAUGGUAUUAAGGAUUUGGUUUACUUUUUACAUCUACAAACUUUGAGAGGUUGCAGUCUACAGUUAAUUAAGAUCUACAUUGGAGAAGACAAAGAUGACCCCGCAGUUGAAA